UACGAAGGGGGGCUAGCGUUGCUCGGAAUCAUUGGGCGUAAAGCGCACGUAGGCGGUCUGUUAUGUCGGAUGUGAAAGCCCUUGGCUCAACUGAGGAAGUGCAUCCGAAACUGGCAGGCUAGAGUACUAAAGAGGAUCGCGGAAUUCCCGGUGUAGAGGUGAAAUUCGUAGAUAUCGGGAGGAACACCGGUGGCGAAGGCGGCGAUCUUGGUAGAUACUGACGCUGAGGUGCGAAAGCGUGGGGAGCAAACAGG
rnacentral:rRNA from 1 species